UACUCUUUCCAUAUACAACUUGAUAAAUCUCUUGGUUGGUCUUUAGGGUCCCAAGUUAUGGUUAUCGAGGCAGAGUGAUGCUUCCUUUUGAAGAAAAUGGAUCGUUCACAAAUUGGGGUCCUAUUUGACUAGCAGAUCUUUGAUGCCUUAUUCUUGUGAUGGGAUGAUAUGCAAAUCAUCUU